AGAGAGAGACAUGCGCGCAUAUCAAUAAGCGGAGGAAAAGAAACUAACAAGGAUUCCCUUAGUAACGGCGAGUGAAGCGGGAAGAGCUCAAAUUUGAAAUCUUCAAGGUUUUACCUUGACGAAUUGUAGUUUAAAGAAGUGUUUUCUGCUGAAGUUUUGGUAAAAGUUCUUUGGAAUAGGACAUCAUAGAGGGUGAGAAUCCCGUAUUUGACCAUUAUUUUCAGCUUUGUGAUACACUUUCAAAGAGUCGGAUUGUUUGGGAAUGCAGUCCAAAAUGGGUGGUAAAUUUCAUCUAAAGCUAAUAUUGGCGAGAGACCGAUAGCGAACAAGUAUCGUGAGGGAAAGAUGAAAAGAACUUUGAAAAGAGAGUUAAACAGUACGUGAAAUUGUCAAAAGGGAAGCGUUUGACACCAGUGUUGUUUUCUCGAAAAUCAAUUAAAAAUGGCUCGAUUUUGUAUUGCUGAGACCUUAAAAGCUCACUGUACAUUUUUCGUGUCUUUUUUAAUGCACUUUUCGUUUAACAAGUCAACAUCAGUUUCUUUUGUUGUAAAAGGGUCAUUGGAAGGUGGCUUUCUUUUCGGAGAAAGUGUUUAUAGCCUUUGGCCUCUGCAAUCGGAAGAGACUGAGGUCUGCAGCGUAGACUCUUCGGGGUUAGAUACAUUUGUGCUAAGUUAUAGCUUUUUAUAGACAACUUGUUGACUAUAAUUAGUCUUGUAGCUUACUCGCUUAUGCUAUUUUACCUACGCUUAGGAUGUUGAAGAUGUAGCACAUCAU
rnacentral:rRNA from 1 species